rnacentral:rRNA from 1 species
UACGUAGGCAGCGAGCGUUGUUCGGAAUUACUGGGCGUAAAGAGUGUGUAGGUGGUGAUCUAAGUCUGUCGUGAAAUCUCCCGGCUUAACUGGGAGGGUGCGGCGGAAACUGGAUCGCUAGAGUAUGGGAGAGGUAAGCGGAAUUCCUGGUGUAGCGGUGAAAUGCGUAGAUAUCAGGAGGAACACCGGUGGCGAAGGCGGAUCUCUGGGCCUUACCUGACGCUCAGGUGCGAAAGCCUAGGGGAGCGAACAGG